UAAGACAGAGGGUGCAAACGUUGCUCGGAAUUACUGGGCGUAAAGCGCGUGUAGGCGGGUCGGAAAGUCGGGCGUGAAAUCCCUAGGCUCAACCUAGGAACUGCACCCGAAACUCCCGGUCUUGAGUGGUGGAGAGGGAAGUGGAAUUCCUGGUGUAGAGGUGAAAUUCGUAGAUAUCAGGAGGAACACCAGUGGCGAAGGCGGCUUCCUGGACACCAACUGACGCUGAGACGCGAAAGCGUGGGGAGCAAACAGGAUUAGAUACCCUGGUAGUCCACGCUGUAAACGAUGGGCACUAGGUGUCGCGGGUUUUGACCCCCGCGGUGCCGUAGCAAACGCGUUAAGUGCCCCGCCUGGGGAGUACGGCCGCAAGGCUA
rnacentral:rRNA from 1 species